GUGGCGAACGGGUGAGUAACACGUGAGCAACCUGCCCCUGACUCUGGGAUAAGCGCUGGAAACGGCGUCUAAUACUGGAUAUGUGACGUGAUCGCAUGGUCUGCGUCUGGAAAGAAUUUCGGUUGGGGAUGGGCUCGCGGCCUAUCAGCUUGUUGGUGAGGUAAUGGCUCACCAAGGCGUCGACGGGUAGCCGGCCUGAGAGGGUGACCGGCCACACUGGGACUGAGACACGGCCCAGACUCCUACGGGAGGCAGCAGUGGGGAAUAUUGCACAAUGGGCGCAAGCCUGAUGCAGCAACGCCGCGUGAGGGAUGACGGCCUUCGGGUUGUAAACCUCUUUUAGCAGGGAAGAAGCGAAAGUGACGGUACCUGCAGAAAAAGCGCCGGCUAACUACGUGCCCAGCAGCCGCGGUAAUACGUAGGGCGCAAGCGUUAUCCGGAAUUAUUGGGCGUAAAGAGCUCGUAGGCGGUUUGUCGCGUCUGCUGUGAAAUCCGGAGGCUCAACCUCCGGCCUGCAGUGGGUACGGGCAGACUAGAGUGCGGUAGGGGAGAUUGGAAUUCCUGGUGUAGCGGUGGAAUGCGCAGAUAUCAGGAGGAACACCGAUGGCGAAGGCAGAUCUCUGGGCCGUAACUGACGCUGAGGAGCGAAAGGGUGGGGAGCAAACAGGCUUAGAUACCCUGGUAGUCCACCCCGUAAACGUUGGGAACUAGUUGUGGGGUCCAUUCCACGGAUUCCGUGACGCAGCUAACGCAUUAAGUUCCCCGCCUGGGGAGUACGGCCGCAAGGCUAAAACUCAAAGGAAUUGACGGGGACCCGCACAAGCGGCGGAGCAUGCGGAUUAAUUCGAUGCAACGCGAAGAACCUUACCAAAGGCUUGACAUAUACGAGAACGGGCCCAGAAAUGGUCAACUCUUUGGACACUCGUAAACAGGUGGUGCAUGGUUGUCGUCAGCUCGUGUCGUGAGAUGUUGGGUUAAGUCCCGCAACGAGCGCAACCCUCGUUCUAUGUUGCCAGCACGUAAUGGUGGGAACUCAUGGGAUACUGCCGGGGUCAACUCGGAGGAAGGUGGGGAUGACGUCAAAUCAUCAUGCCCCUUAUGUCUUGGGCUUCACGCAUGCUACAAUGCCCGGUACAAAGGGCUGCAAUACCGCGAGGUGGAGCGAAUCCCAAAAAGCCGGUCCCAGUUCGGAUUGAGGUCUGCAACUCGACCUCAUGAAGUCGGAGUCGCUAGUAAUCGCAGAUC
rnacentral:rRNA from 1 species